CGGAUAUCCACGCUCUCCUUGUGCUGGUGUCCUUGACUGUAGGCUGCCACCGCGUUUCCUGAUGGUUAUUUCUGAUGCAGCCGGUCUUCACUGACACAGAACAUCUGCAUUGCAUUUUGUCUUUGGGAUGUCACUCUGUAAGAAAGACAAACGCAUAGUUUGAGUGAAGAUAAAUGGCAUUUUAAGCAUAAUAUCAUGUUCCACGUCUUCCUCUUCUAUGAAUGAAAAUUAUCUAGCAGUUUAGAGGAAGAGCUUAGUGAUGUAAAUAAUGAAAAAAUACAUCUGUAUGUGGUCGUGCAUUUAAAAAUGUCAUAACAGAAGAUGAAUGGAAUGUUCAGGUUUAUAAUAAAAGAUUUAGCUACCUUUUGCCAGUAUAUGUCAGAACUCUUGGAUGAGAACCUACUGUGAGACAGUUUGUCCAAGCGUUUAGGUUUCCAUUUCAUCUACCAUCUGGGAUUUUACUUUUAUUUUAAGGAACUUUGUUGAUAGUAUUGAUUCUUUCUCAGGUGUAAUGUGUUAACUCCAUUAUGCUUAUCAGGUUACAAGUACAGAGAAGUUUUUCGCUCCAGGAUAACUUCUAGAAUGGUAAAGGUCAUCCAUUAAAUGCUAAGCUCGUUUCUCUGUACACAGGUGAGAUCACUGUAUGAAAUUCUGCAUGCUUUUAAUGUAUACCUUAUAAUGCCAUAAGUUCACACCAAGCAGUGAAUAUCAAGCUCUUAUAAAUCAUAUGGAUAUUACAUACUCAGGUAGGGGUAACUUUACGUUGAUCAUUUUGUGAAUUUAAAAUGUCAGUGAUGG
rnacentral:lncRNA from 1 species